GGUUGUGGCUCAGUGGUAGAGUGCUUGCCUAGCAUGUAUGAGGCUCUGAGUUUGAUCCUCAGCACCG
rnacentral:tRNA from 1 species